rnacentral:lncRNA from 1 species
CAACAACUAAUAGACCACUAAAUUAAGCAAAUUCAUUUAUCAAUAAUAAAACCAUUUACCGUCCACUUACCAUAGUAAGAUUUAUAGAAAACAAUAACAUUAUAUGUAUCAUGAUUCCGUAUAUAGUUGGCAACAUAGCACAUAUUAUACUUUCAUAUUCAAAUCAUCAAACAACAAUUGCCCCUUUUUUCACCAGCCUAAUGGUAUCUACGGAGGUUCAUAGGGGUGUCUCCGCUAUGCGUGAACCUUUUCCUUUAACAUUCUCAAUUACAGAUCAUUCCCAUACCCCAUCCGGUAUAAAUGUUAAAUUAUCAAACCUCAAUACCCCAUCUGGUAUGAGGGUAAAGCGGGCCGUCUCCAUACUCCGUCCGGUAUGAGUGCUAAGUUACCAAGUCUCCAUAUUAUCAAACCUCAAUACCCCAUCUGGUAUGAGGGUAAAGCGGGCCGUCUCCAUAC